UAGAGCAGGGGUGUAACGGUACACGUAUUUGAACCGAACCGUCACGGUACAGGCACUUCGGUGCGGUUACAGAGGUGUACCGCGGUCCGUAAAUGUGGCGUACAUAGCGUUAAUAUGGCGAAUGUAAAGGCUUGUUUUGCGGUGCGGAACUUAAAACUUGAAGUCGGAGUUCCCCCCGGACCGUUUAGCCUUAUUAGGCUCGGCUCGCACGUGCGCGAACUCCGCGUAGUAGCAGUAGCAGAGCGCGAUCGCGACUGUGUGUGGAUUGAUGUCUACUAGCGAACUGAGAGCGAACUGAGAGCGAACUGCAUGGCGAGCGACAACAGAAAACCGGAGCUUGAAGAUGCCCCCCUGUCAUUUAAAUCCCAAGUGUGGGAGAACUUUGGAUUCCCCUUCCAGGUUAAUUAUCACAAUGGGGAAAGACGAGUGGACAAGUCGAAAGCUGUGUGCAGACAUUGUUCAACAGCGAUCGUCUAUGCAAAUGGAAACACAUCGAAUUUUCGCCCCCGGUACAAUUUUAACGUGACGGCACCAUCCAGGUGUUACUGUCACCGCUGCAAAAUGAAAAAAAGUUGUUCAAAUCGUUCAAACCCAGCUCCCUAUUUAAUCAACCCCUACACCUGUCUGGGAAUUCAGAACGGGCAAAUGCCAUCACCAGGGCUAUUGGUGUUUUCAUUGCCUCUGACCUACGAGAGGCAAUGAAAACACCAAUAGAUUAUAAAAUACAUAAGCUGUAAUUUAAGUUAAGGCUGCAGUUGCACUUUUAUUUAAUGAUUGAUUAUAUUUAUGAGAACUUCAGAGCUUUAGAGAGCUGCAGGAAUAUGUUACAAACUCUUUGUUUACAUACCAGCUUAAUGAGCCUAGACUGAGCAUUAAAACUGGAUUUUUCAUUAAUUUUAUGUUAGGGUUAUUGGAGAAUUGCAUCAUUUUAUUUGUAUGUUUCAUACUGACAGCUAAAACUGUUGUGUUUAAUUCGUUACUAAUUAAACUUAUGUUCGUUCUGUCAAGCAAUCCGUUUUUUCACCAUAACUAUGAACCGAACCGUCCUGUACCGUACCGUGACUUCAAAACCGAGGUACGUACCGAACCGUGACUGUUGUGUACCGUUACACCCCUAGUUUAGAGGCUAACGCUGUAAGGUACAGGAACGCUAAGGUACAGGAACGCUAAGGUACAGGAACACUAAGGUAGGGUUUAGAGGCUAACGCUGUAAGGUACAGGAACGCUAAGGUACAGGAACACUAAGGUACAGGAACACUAAGGUUGGGUUUAGAGGCUAACGCUGUAAGGUACAGGAACACUAAGGUAGGGUUUAGAGGCUAACGCUGUAAGGUACAGGAACGCUAAGGUACAGGAACACUAAGGUACAGGAACACUAAGGUAGGGUUUAGAGGCUAACGCUGUAAGGUACAGGAACACUAAGGUACAGGAACACUAAGGUACAGGAACACUAAGGUACAGGAACACUAAGGUAGGGUUUAGAGGCUAACACUGUAAGGUACAGGAACGAUGUAGACACUUAGGUACAGGAACACUGUAAACACUGUUUUUACUUUAUCAAAUAUCAAAUGUUUAUUCCUUCCCAUCUCUUCGAACUGGAAGAGAUGGGAAGGAAUCUCUUCAUUGUGUUUGAUGAUGGGUUCAGAGGUCAGAGUUCUGGUGCUCUUCAUUGUGUUGUGUGUUUAG